rnacentral:rRNA from 1 species
AUUGAACGCUGGCGGCAUGCCUUACACAUGCAAGUCGAACGGCAGCACGGGAGCAAUCCUGGUGGCGAGUGGCGAACGGGUGAGUAAUAUAUCGGAACGUGCCCAGUGAUGGGGGAUAGCCCGGCGAAAGCCGGAUUAAUACCGCAUACGACCUACGGGUGAAAGCAGGGGAUCGCAAGACCUUGCGUCAUUGGAGCGGCCGAUAUCAGAUUAGCCUGUGGUGGGGUAAAGCCUACCAAGGCGACGAUCUGUAGCUGGUCUGAGAGGACGACCAGCCACACUGGGACUGAGACACGGCCCAGACUCCUACGGGAGGCAGCAGUGGGGAA